rnacentral:rRNA from 1 species
GUCCAAGCCGUAAACGAUGGGCACUAGGCAGGGGGGGUUCCGAUAUUCUCCCUGCUGGAGCUAAUGUGUUAAGUGCCCCGCCCUGGGAAGUACAGUCGCAAGGCCGAAACUCAAAGGAAUUGACGGGGGCUCACACAAGCGGUGGAGCAUGUGGUUUAAUUCGAAGCAACGCGCAAAACCUUACCUGGGUUUGACAUGCACGGAUUACCACCUAGAAACAGGUGGGACGCUCGCAAGAGUGGAACGUGCACAGGUGCUGCAUGGCUGUCGU